UACAGAGGGGGCAAGCGUUGUUCGGAAUUACUGGGCGUAAAGCGCGUGUAGGCGGCUCUUCAAGUCAGGCGUGAAAGCCCCGGGCUCAACUCGGGAACUGCGCUUGAUACUGUCGAGCUAGAGUGUGGAAGGGGCGAUUGGAAUUCCGUGUGUAGCGGUGAAAUGCGUAGAUAUACGGAGGAACACCAGAGGCGAAGGCGGAUCGCUGGGCCAACACUGACGCUGAGACGCGAAAGCUAGGGUAGCAAACGGG
rnacentral:rRNA from 1 species